CAAGUCGAACGGCGAAAGGGACUUCGGUCCUGAGUAAAGUGGCGCACGGGUGAGUAACGCGUAGAUAACCUGUCUUCAUGUCUGGAAUAAUACGCCGAAAGGGGUACUAAUACCGGAUAUUCUUGCUUUUCAUAAGUUAUGCAAGCAAAGGUGGCCUCUGCAUAUGCUACUGCAUGAAGAGGGGUCUGCGUACCAUUAGCUAGUAGGUGGGGUAAUGGCCUACCUAGGCGACGAUGGUUAGCGGGUCUGAGAGGAUGAUCCGCCACACUGGCACUGGAACACGGGCCAGACUCCUACGGGAGGCAGCAGUGAGGAAUAUUGCGCAAUGGGGGAAACCCUGACGCAGCGACGCCGCGUGAGUGAAGGAAGGCCUUCGGGUCGUAAAGCUCUGUCAAGAGGAAAGAAGUGUACAAUGGCUAAUACCUGUUGUAUUUGACGGUACCUCUAAAGGAAGCACCGGCUAACUCCGUGCCAGCAGCGGC
rnacentral:rRNA from 1 species